rnacentral:rRNA from 1 species
AGGACGAACGCUGGCAGCGUGCUUAACACAUGCAAGUCGAGCGGAAAGGCCUUUCGGGGUACUCGAGCGGCGAACGGGUGAGUAACACGUGAGUAAUCUGCCCAUCGCUUCAGGAUAGCCAUCGGAAACGGUGAUUAAUACUGGAUAUGACAUUCCUUCGCAUGUUGGGGUGUGGAAAGUUUUUUCGGCGGUGGAUGUGCUCGCGGCCUAUCAGCUUGUUGGCGGGGUAAUGGCCUACCAAGGCUUUGACGGGUAGCCGGCCUGAGAGGGUGACCGGCCACACUGGGACUGAGACACGGCCCAGACUCCUACGGGAGGCAGCAGUGGGGAAUAUUGGACAAUGGGCGGAAGCCUGAUCCAGCAACGCCGCGUGAGGAUGACGGCCUUCGGGUUGUAACCUCUUCAGCACAGACGAAGUUUGCUUUUUUGGUGAAGUGGCGGUAUGUGCAGAAGAAGGACCGGCAACUACGUGCCAGCAGCCGC